rnacentral:lncRNA from 1 species
UUAUAUGGAGCUACCGGAACGUUUGUUCCGUAAACAAACGGAGACCAAACAUCAACCUCUUUGUGUCCCUGAUACGACGGAGGUAUGGCGGUUCUGUAAGUAAUUUGUUGGCUCCGGUAUGUGACGUAAGAAUCAAGACGAUCGUAGUAGAUACCAAUUUUAUCGUUGGGAUUACGUGAAGAAACUGUGACUUGGAAAUUUGAGGUUAAGAAAUUUGGAACUGUGGCGUUGAAAGCGUAAACAGUGACAUCUUGGAGAAUGAAAGAAGGUUUAGAAGGUUUUAAGACAGCCCAAAUGAUUAGGAUUGUUACUAGGACAAUGAAGAGGAAGAUUAUGAUUCCCCAGAAGAUUUUUCUGAAGCGUUUGUGUUUCUUUCCUUUGUGGUGGUUGCACUCUUUUACCGACAUGGUUUUGAGGUUGAUGUUGAGGUUGAGGUUAAGGUUGUUAAGGUUUUGUUUAGUGGAAUUUGGAGAAAGUGAGGUUUGAAGUAUUUGAGAGAGGAGUGAAAAAUGGUAGCUAGAGAGUGGUUUUUGUUAGGAAAAUUAAGAAGGUGGAAAAUGGGUUGGAAGUUUAUCGCUUUCAAGGUGUUAUAGUUUAUUUAGAAAUAAUAGUGAUGAUGAUGAUGUGUUUGAAAAGAUGUGAUAAGAUUAUGUUACUACUAAGAAUAAAUAUUAUAUAUAUUAUUAGCAUGAAUAUGUUAGGUGGUUGAGGCUAAUUUGUAUGACAUGUAAAAGUUUUUUGGAUAUUGAAAUAGGGUUUUGCUAGAAGACGCCUUUUAGAUGGGUCUUUUAGCAAGCCACACCUUAAGGUGUGAUAUCUUAAGGUGUGAUAUUCAUUUUUUAGUUAUAACUUUGCUAAAAGAAACCUUGAUAAAAAUUAGUUGGUGUCUUUUAACAAAUGUCAAUAGAAAAACUUGCUAAAAAACACCUUCAUAAAAGGUGUCUUCUAGCAAAACCCAUUGAAAUAUAUGUAUUUUUUUAUUUAUUUCAUAUCCUAUCUUCUUUCUUUUUAGACUUAAUAACAAUUUUGACCCCUAUGUUUUAACAAGUUGCGAUUUUGGUCCCCUAAUUAAAUAAACUAUAAAAUCGUCCUUUUAAGUAUUGAUUUUUUUUGCAGUUUUGGCCCCCCAAGCCAAUUUUGACCAAGUCAAAGCUGACAUGGGCACCACAUGUGUAUUUAUUAUUUUUAUUUAUUUUUUAAUUAUUAAAAAAGUAAAAAAAAAUGUAUUUUUUUAUUAAAAAAUUAAAAAAAAUAAAUAAAUACACACGUGGCAUCCACGUGUGCAUUGACUUGGUCAAAAUUGGUCUGGGGGGCCAAAACUGCAAAAAAAGUCAAUACUUAAGGGGCUGUUUUGUAGUUUAUUUAAUUAGGGGGCCAAAAUCGCAACUUCUUGAAACAGAGGGGGCCAAAUCUGCUAUUAAGCCUUCUUUUUAUUACUCAGGUUUGUUAAAAUGUAAUUUUAUUUUCAUAUCAAAUUCAGUUAAAGCAUAAAAGUAAAAUGAGAUUAUUGUUAAUUUCAUCAUUACUCAUUACAUUGAGUCCAGAUCUGCUCCGGUUGGUAUUUUGUCCAGUUUCCCGUUAGCUUAACGGAUGUGUGACACAAUGCAAAAAACAUUUGAAUGGUUCAGAUUAAAAACAAAAUCAGGACUCCCUCACGUUCUUCUCUCUGUGUUUUGAAGUCUUCUCCCUUACGCGUUUAUCAUCUUCCGCACCUUCCACAUCCGUCAAACCCAAAACUAGAAGAACCCUCACUUCGCCACACCGUCUCUCCUUCUUGCAACGUCGUCCUCCUCGGCACCCAGAACCAAACAAGGUUUUCAAUUCACCGUCGUUUACACCAUUUCCCCCUUUUCAAUUGGUUUGGGAACAAAUUUUGCAUGAAGAUUUGGGAGAAAAAAUUCAGAGGCUUAAGAACAAAAUUUGCAGGAACAUUUGGGAGGAAAAAAAUCACAGAUCCAGAACAGUGAGUGGGAAAAGCAGCGAUAUGUUGAAAUGGAGAAGAGAGAAAAACGCGUACAGGGAAAAGUUUAAACAUGGAGAGACGAGCGCAUAGGAGCGCGAUGGAGUUACAUAUUUUGUUUUUAAUCUGAACCGUUUAAAUGUUUUUUGCCAUGAGUCACACAUCCGUUAAGCUAACCUGGAAACUGGACAAAAUACUAACUGGAGCAGAUAUGGACUCCAGUACAUUAGCUCCUGCACUAUGAUAUCAUUUGAUAUGUACCCUUUUUUUUUUACCUUGAACAAAUUAAGCAAGUAUGAAUGUGAGGAACACGUGUCGGGUGUGCACGUUAUAGUUGCAAGAGAAUUUAUUAGCCUUCAUUGUCUAUUGGAUAGCGUGUUUUGAAAUUGCCACUUGAUGAGAGAAACUCUUGGGUGGACACAAGGAUUUGGACCCUUUAUUUGGUUACACACACAUAAAAAGAAAAAAGGUAGAAGAAAUAAUAAUUAAAUAUCAUUAAUUUUCAAAUGAUUAUAUCAUGUCCAUUUUUAUUGUGUGUGACCAAAUAGAGGGUCCAAAUCCUUGUGUCUACUCAAGAAUAAUUCAUUUGGUGAUUGGGGUUUCCUUUCUGGUUCAAUAUUUCAGUUGAGUCAUUAAUUAGGACAACAUGAUGUGAGAGUUAACUAUUGUUAGAUGAAAAUAGGCCAUUGGUACCAAAUUUGAAAGAAGGGUCUUGCUAAUAAGUGUUUUAAAGAUGUUGUUUAAAAAAUUUAUAAAAAGAAACUUUGUUUUGAAAAUACAAGUUCAACAUUUGUAAAAGUUAUAAUUAUAGUAAAAAUUACUAUUUUUGGAUUUUUAAACAAUACCUAAGGCAUUUAUUGGAAAGAGCAAUGAUAUUUGAACAACCAUUUGGUAAAACUUAUUUGACAACCUUUCUUUUCUCUCUUUUCAUCAUUGGUCAAAAACAAUGGAGAGAGAAAAAGGAAGAGAGAAAGUAAGAAUAUAAUGUGAGUAUGAGAGAGAAAGUUGUCCAAAAAUUAUCACAAAGUGGUUGUACAAAUAUCAUUUCUCUAUUGAAAAAUGUUAGUAACUAGUAGUAUCCAUAGAACACUUGUUAAAUAAACUAAUGUAGAUAUUUUACAUUAGAAAGUGGAAUGUUCAACUUUAUGAAAGUCAAAAGAAUGUUUUUAAUGAAAGAAAAGUUUAUAUUUUUUACUUUCUUAACUAGUGCUCCAGGACCAUUAGUUAGUGUGAACAGUGGCGGAUCUUGGAAAAAAAAUCGAGGGUGCCAAAUAUUUAUGAAAUAUAUAUUAAACGUUUUUAAAUAAUGUGCAACAUAGUAAACUAGUGUAGUGGUACAAAUGCUUGUACAUGGAGGAUGCUGGUUUAAAUCUCACUAGGGUCAUUUUUUUGAAUAAAAUAUGAAAAAUUCGCUAAGAAUUAUUAAAAAGGAGAGUACCGGAGGGAUCGAACUCGGGACACGCAAUGGGUUGAGAGAAUGCAUUACCACUGCAACAAAACGUAUUAAUUGAAUUAAUAUGCCUAAUAUGAUAUCUAUAUCCAAACUGGGGGGUGCAGUGACACCUGAGGGUCUCCAAAGAGAUCCGCCUCUGAGUGUGAACCUUUUGUGUUGUAUGUGAUUGGCCCCAUCGAGAAUCUCAAUGUUGCUUUCAACCAAGAAAGUUCGCAAGAAAGGGAGAUUAUGUUUUAAGGUUUAUUUGUGUCUAUUGACAUUCGUUGAAUCAAGCUUGAUUCCAUUUUCUUAAUAUCAAAUUUGGUAUCUAUGUUGCUCACUUGAAAAAAUUUACUAUUUGCAUCAGGGUGGACAUCAAUUGUUGUGAAUUUCAUAUACAAAUCACACCAAUAAACUUAAAUGUGUUAAGCAAGUAUGAAUGAAUGACAAUCAAUAACCAAAAUACUCUCAAGCAACAACAACAUGUUUAAUUUAACAACCAAUGUGUAAAGAAAAACUACAAUUGAAUCAAAGACAUGAGAUUUUAAGGCAUAUCACAACAUAUAUGAUAGAAAAAAUAAACAUUAAUAUUUUAUUAAUAUUGGAAAAUAAUUUAUAAGUUUGAGACAUUUUUUUUCCUCGUAAAGUAACUUUCUUUAUUGACAAAGAGGGUACUAUUUUAGACCUUUAAACAAUAUACUCAUUUGCAUUUUCCUGUAAUAAUUUGUUACUAUGUAUGAGUAAGUAGAUGGUGUGGUAAUUCUUAAUUGAAGUCUUCUACACAAAAUUACUAGACAACCGUGAAUUCUACCCCAACCGUGCAUGUAUUCUCCCCAAACUCGUCCAUUUCAAUGAUAGCAUUGAUUUCAUUAAAAUGUUUAUGCUUGCCAUUGUCAACAAAGGGCUACUUUACGUUUUGUAAAAUAAUCAGUUUUACAAAGGUACGAAAAGGCACAGAUGUUAGAAAUUGGGUAGAACAUUUACAUAAAUAAAUGGAAAAUGUUGAUAAGUGUAUUUACAGAGUUUCAUUUGUUUUAGAAAUCAAAAUAGGUAAUUUUUACUUAAAAGUUGUAUAUUUAUUAAUUUGGCUUAUAUUUCUCAAUUAAAAAUUAUUUUUAUUGAUUCUUUAAGCAAUAGUACUUUAGAAUACUAAAGUCUUAAAAAUUUACUACCUUCGUCCCUAAUUAUAAGAUCCUUUUGAGAAUUUUUUUUGUCCCUUUUUAUAAGACUCAUUUUCUAUUUCCAACUACAUUAAUUAUUUCUUUACAUACAUGCCCCUAUUUAUUAUACAUCUUUUUCUUCAAUCAACAAUAAAUAGAAUGUUGAAAACAUAAGCCAACCCUUUUUCUUAAAGGAUAAAAUUGUAAAAACAAUAGUAAUUACAAACAUAUUUAAUACAAAUAUCCACCAUCUUAAUUCCCGUUAUUUUUUCAAAAAGCCUUAUAAUUAGGGACGGAGGUAGUAUUAUUUAAAAUAAAAAUGAAAUUAACACUUGUUGCUCUUAAAAACAAUGAUAUUUAAACAUGUCUAAUUUCUUAAACAAUUCAUUUUCUAUUCCAACAGAUUAAUCUAUUACACCAUCAUCUCUAUUUCUUUUACUCUUUAAAAAAAAAAAACUCUGUUUCUUCCACUCUCAAGAUGUACACUAUUAGGUGCAUGAAUUUCUAAGUAACAUUUUUCCUAAGAAAAAAGAUCAAUGUUAUUUGAACAACAUUUUUAUGUGACAAUUUGUUAGACAACCACAUUAUACAAAGAAAUUUAGGUAGUGACACAAAUAUUAAAGCAAUAGAGAGAGAAAGUAGAAGAACAAUGUGUGUAUAAGAGAGAAAGUUGUCAUAAAAGUUGUCAAAAAGUGGUUGUUCAAAUAUAUUUCUCUAACAAAGAUCACGUUUGGAGGCUUAGGCUACGUUGAGGUCUCCUACCGUAGGUGACUACAUUUUUUUUUUUUUUUUGGUUUAUAAAAUGCUUUUUAGCCAUUGGAUUUGGAAAGAAGUUUUCAAUGGCAUAUAUCUUUAGACAUGUUGACCCACUAGCAAUGUAUAUGUAUAAUGUUUAAUUUUUGUCUUUAAUAAAGUAAUGAGUAAAUAGUCAAUUUCCCCCUGAAAUUGUAAGUUUCAUCAAUUACCCCCCUGAAAUUAACAAAACUUCAAUUACCCCCCCUGAAAUUUCACAAUGUUAGUCAAUUUACCCCCUCCGUCAAAUUUUUCUGUUAGUGAACAUGACGUUUUGCAAAUAUCCCCCUGAAGUNCCUGAAAUUUCACAAUGUUAGUCAAUUUACCCCCUCCGUCAAAUUUUUCUGUUAGUGAACAUGACGUUUUGCAAAUAUCCCCCUGAAGUUUUGCACUUAUGUGCAAAAUGUCCCCAAACUUAAAAAUUUAUAUUAUUUUUUUCUUAAAAAUAAACAAUUAAUAGUUAAAUAUUAAAGUUAACUAUUAAUUUUGUAGUUUGGAAAAACCACAUACUUAUAUACAUCAAAUUAUUUUUAAAGUUAUAUGUGAUUAAUAUAUUACUGAUGACCUGCAACAACAGGUAACUAAUACUGACUUGACCUACAAAUACAAGUUAUAAGAUCAACAUAAAAAAAAAAAAAAAAACUUGUAAAUGCAUGUCCUACCAUACAUGACCCAUAAGGGUCGCCUACCUCAAACGGCACCCACGUUUGGAUAUCCAAUUUGGAAAAGAACGUGAUAUAUAACGACACAUUAUACUAGGUCCCACUUAACAUGACAGAAGAGCUCCCACUCAGCAACACCGACCAUGUUUUGGUUUUUCUAAACUUGGUUUGAAAAUAGAAAAAUACUGUUACUCCACUAGCUGUUGGCAACACCAAACCCUGGACUAAGGCCUAAAGUAUAGUUUAGUUUCAAGGGCCUAAAUACAACUCCUUUUGUUUGAUCAAUUAAGUGUAACUCAAUAAAGAAAAGAAAUAGAGGAAAAGAAAACGGUUAAUUAUGUUUUAGGUCCUAUAAAUAGACGUGUUUUUAACAUUAGUCUCUACUUAAAUUUUAUUAAAUUUUUGGUCCUAACAUUUUUUUCCGUUAGUGAAAUAGAUCUUCGCUGUUAAUUGUUGCUGAUUGAACAAACGGUGAAGCACACGUGGAUACCACAUCUGACUUUUUUGUUGGAUUAAAUAUGUUUUUAAUCCCUAUAAAAUUGAGACAUUUUAAGUUUAGUCCUUACUUAAUUUUAAUAGUUGUUUUAACCCUUACAAAAAUACUAUACACUCACUAUUAGUCCUUACUCAAUUCAAAUUUGUUUAAUUUAUACUUAAACUCUUAAGUUUUUUUAACAAUUUUUUGUAGAUGUAUUAAGCAUUACUCUUUGGUUGAUCUGUAGACAUCUUGUAUACUGCCACUAGUUUUGCAUGAAAUGGGAGCAUAUGGGUUGAUUCGAAUUAAUAUGGAAUUAUUUUUCCACACCCAUUCAAUAGUUUGCCCCUGGUUAAUGAUAUUAGGUUCUACUCAAAUAAUCUACGCCGCUUCAACAUCUUUUGGUAUGAUAGACUAUGUCUUCUUUAUCUUGACGAAAUGGAUGGAAUGGCUAUCCCAAUGUCAAAAAUAUUCACGAUUUUCACUAUCUUAUCGAUGACUUCUUUUGCAUUGUCGGACAUGAGUGAUUUUGUUGCCGAAUUGAUAGUUUUUUUUUUUGGAAUAAUUACUAGUCAAAAGUUUCUUUUCUUGAUGAAAAUACUAUCAUAACUAGUUUUAAUAGGUUUUUUUAGUCCCUACAAAAAAAAAAAUUACUUCUAAUUUUAGUCCCUACUAAAACAAAGUUUGUUUAAUUAUCCUUAAACUCUUAAAUUUUUGAACGAAUUUUUUGAGACAAGUUUAGAACACUAUGAAAGGUUCAAUUAAUAAAAUUUAGAAUUUUUUAACAUGAAAAAAAUUAAAUAUGAAUUUUUGAAAACAAUUAAAGAUAAAGAUAAAAGUAAUAAAAUAUGAAAAUAUAAAUCAAAUUUUGCGGCGGUACUUUUAGUAAUGUUCUUAACACGUCUACAAAAAAUUGUUAAAAAACUUAAGAGUUUAAGAAUAAAUUAAACAAAUUUGAAUUGAGUAGAGACUAAUAUUGAAUGCAUAGUAUUUUUGUAAGGACUAAAACAACUAUUAAAAUUAAGGACUAAACUUAAAAUGCCUCAAUUUUACAGGGACUAAAAACAUAUUUAACCCAACAAAAAAAAGUCAGAUGUGGCAUCCACGUAUGCUUCCGUUUGUUCAAUCAACAACAAUUAACAGCGAGGACCUAUUUUGCUAACGGAAAAAAACGACGGGGACCAAAAAUUUAAUAAAAUUUAAGUAGGAACUAAUGUUGGAAACACGCCUAUUUAUAGAGACCUAAAACAUAAUUAACCCAAAAGAAAAAGGUACUUUCUUCGAUUGAAAGAUACAAGCCAAAAUCUUAUGUCUUGAUUUCACAAAGAAAUUUGAUUCAAAAGAUAUUUAAAGAUUCCUCCUUACGCUAUCAUACUACCAAAUACCAAUCUUUUGUGACGCUUUCAUUUGUGGAUACUCUACCUAUAGUCUCACUUUGGAUCUCAAAUUGAUGUACACAUUUACAUGCCAAAUGAAGCUUUAGUUUACUAAUUAAUGUUGCAUGCUGUCUUCUAAAAACAGCUCUAAUAGUAAAAGGUUGCAAUGACAAUUAAUAUCUUGGUUAUAUGUUCGAACCAACAAUAUUUUUUAUUUUCGUAUUUAAUGUGUGUGAGUUUUGUCCUAAAUUUUUAACUUAGGAUCUUAAAAUAUCUCUCUCAAGAUUACAUGUUUGAUUCUCUCUCGUAUCAAUUUUGAUGGAUUAUUUUAGGUCCAAAAAAAGUUUUUGAUGCAAAAACAAAACAUUUUGCUUACGUCUCCUUAAUUUUUUUUCUAGCAGUCAUUUUCAAAGCUCAAAUUAUAUGUAUAAUUAUUGCUUUGUUAAAAUUAACCAUCGUUAAUUUAUUAAUUUUUUUGGUAUGUAUUCCUUUAAAAAAAUUGUCAUGUAUAAAAUUUAAAAGGAUGGGAAGUAAUAGUUUUUAUUGAGUAGUAGUGAUGAUGCCUGUUCGUAUAAUUUAAGCAACUUGAGUGUGAUUAACCAGUCGUGGUAUUUAUAUUCAUAUCUCCUUUUCACCUAAUUUAAUUAAGAAGCAACUCUAUAUUUCUCCGUUGAAAGUUCAAAGUAUAAAAAGCAAAUGCAACCAUCUCUAGCUAUAUAAAGAUUAGUCAACUUUGUAUCACUUUUAGGAACGGAUUCAACUUGUUCACAUGGUAGCCGGUUUUGAGUGUAGACGAAUCAAAGAAUGUUCCUUUUAAUAUGCACAACCUUGACGGUGCUCACAAUACCAAAUCUGUUUUAGUUUCAAAUUACUUGAUGCUAAGCAUGCAUGUGUUCUGUUUGGCUGUCCACACCCUCUAAUUUGAUCAUAGAUUAUUAUUUUUUUUUAUAAGAAUUAGGUAUUUCUCUGCGAAACGGUAGAGAAUUCUUAGAAAUCGUGGUUGAGCUUAACACAACCCCACAAAACCAACUUGUGAGGUGAGGAUUGCCCCCACUUAUAAACACGUUGUCAUGUCAUCUUUCAUUCCGAUGUGAGACUCUUAACAAGAAUAAUCUCUCAAAUCGUUGAUAUCACACUAGAUGAUAAAGUUAAUUUAACAAUGCAUCUAAGAACUGGAUUCAAACUCAAAAUCACAAGAGAUGUAAAUUUACCUCUUUUCUAUAUUUGAUUAUAGAAUAUAUAAUAGUUGAACAUAAAUAAUUAGGUGCAUCUAUUAUACAUAAGCAAAACCCUUUCUUUAGGCACGGUAGGUGAGGGCGUGAAAAGGACCACCACCACCACUCUACCAUGUGGAAUGAAUAUAAAUAAAUCCUUCAAUCAUUGACCUUAAUUUCUAAGUGCGUAUGUUAAUUAGUUUCCUUUAGGGAAAUCAUCUUUUAACAACAAAAAGAAAAUAUUUACAAAUUUAGAUACUAACCCUUCUGCGGAAGAACCAAUUCAGUCCAUUUCAAUGACACACUAAAAUGUAUAAUUGGUAUAGUUUCAUUUUUAAAAAUGAGAAAGAAGUGGUCAAACAAUAUAGACAUUCAACUUUCUAUUAAAAAAGAAAGACCUUCAAUUUGAAAAUUAAUUAUAUACUACACUCUUCAUUAUUGAUCCAAUAAUAUACUACAGGUGGCCAAGAAUAUAGACAAGGAUAUACACAUGCAUAAGUAAGCAUAACCAAUAAAAAGUAACCAAAAGUAAAUAAUAAACGAAUCAUCCAUUAUAUUCAUGAAUAUUCUUAAGUAAAGAAUAAAGCAAAACAACACAUCUUCUAUCCAAAUUGACACAAAAAAUUAUUUUAUUAAUGUAUUGAUUCACCUCAAAUGACAGUGUUACAAACUUACAGUACAUAUUACAAUUUUUUUCUACACAUCUCUAUCUCCUCCAUCAAUUUUUCACAUAUAGCUCCAAGUGAAUUUUUAUUCUAUAACAAUAAAUUAUAUGUAAUAAUAACAACAACAAAAUGUACAAUUCAAAUACCGUGGUAGAAAAUAAGAAUACGUGUAAAAUGAAACAUUAUUACUAAACAGAGUAAUAUACCAGAAGCAGAGAAGAAUAGAGGAAGGAGUGAAACACAAUAUACUCAACAUCGUUGACUAUCAAACACUGACAGUGCACCGUUGAACAAUCUGAUACUUAACAGCGCCGCUAUCACCGACGCUAAUACCGUUACUUCUUGGACCAAACGUGAUAAAAGCAGGACAACGAACAAAAAUAUGGUAAUGACCAGAAAUAAAAGCACCAACCUUCCACCUAACCCUACCAUCAAAUUUAACGACAACAAGAACGUUACCGUUAUCCUGGUCUUGGCUAAGAGCAACAGAGUUAUAUGGAGCUACCGGAACGUUUGUUCCGUAAACAAACGGAGACCAAACAUCAACCUCUUUGUGUCCCUGAUACGACGGAGGUAUGGCGGUUCUGUAAGUAAUUUGUUGGCUCCGGUAUGUGACGUAAGAAUCAAGACGAUCGUAGUAGAUACCGAUUUUAUUGUUGGGAUUAUUAGUGUAUUAAUAAUAACUGCUUGUAACUAAUUUGGUUAAGUUUGUUUUAAUUUUUCCUAUUACUUAGAGAGUUAACUUGUAUAGCAAGCAAGUAACCAUUUUGCCUAUAAAAGGCUUUGUAAUUGUGAACUUCAUAACUAAUGAGCAUUAUUCACAUUACACAAUAAUUCUCUCCAUUAUUCUCUCUUCUCAUAACAACUUUCUGUUAUAAUCAUCUUGCUUAGAAACAAUUUAUCUUAAUAAGCACUUUUGCUGCGCAUGAACAAAGUGAUUGUUCUAACAAUUGGUAUAGAGAGUCUGGAUUAAAUAUUAGGGAAACACAAGUGAAAAGUGAGGGGAAUCAUCAUUGGAAAUCACAGAGUGAGGUCUGUGUAUUGAUUUCUCUGUUUUCUUGAGAAUUAAGCAAGAUGAACACAAACGGUUUUGGCUCAAACAUCUUAGUUCUUGAUGGCAAGAAUUGGGAACGAUGGAGUGCUUUGAUGAAAUCAUUGUUUGGCACGCAAGAUGUGAGUGAAGUUGUGCAGAAUGAUUUUGAAGAACCUUCUGCAAAUUCCACUAAUGUGCAGAGAGCAGUUUAGAAAGAAAACAAGAAGAAAAACUGUAAAGCUCUGUUCUAUAUUCAACAAAAUGUUGAUAAUCAACAUUUUGAGAAGAUUUCAAAAGCAACUAGAUCUAAAGAAGCAUGGGAUAUUUUGGAGAAUUAUCAUAAUGGGGGAGAAAAGGUGAAACAAGUCAAGCUGCAAUCAUAUAGAAGGAAGUAUGAAAUGAUGCAAAUGGAAGAAGAUCAGAAGGUAAGUGAUUACUUCUCAAAGAUGAUUGAAAUUGUGAAUUUGAUGAAGAAUUGUGGUGAAAACAUUUCUGAUCAGAUGAUAGUUGAGAAAGUCUUGAGAUCUUUAAGUCAAAAGUUUGAUUUCAUAGUGGUAGAAAUCCAAGAAGUAAAGGAUGUGAAGAUUAUGAUGGUUGAAGAAUUGCGGGGUUCUCUUGAAGCACAUGAACUGUUGGUGAUUGAUAGAAGUUCAGAAAGAUCAGUUCAACAAGCUCUUCAGGUUCAAACAACCAAGAAAGAGGGAGAUUUUAAGAAUUUCAAAAAGGGAAGAGGUAAAACAAAUUGGUCCUCUAAUGCAAAAUCCAAACCUGAGAACAAAAUUGAAUCUUCUAAAAGAGGAAGUUUUGGAAAAAAAAUCAGAACAAAAAGAGGGAUUUUGACAAGAGUAAAGUUCAGUGUUAUAAUUGUGAAAAAUUUGGCCCUUUUGCUGAUGAAUGUUGGUUCAAGAAAGAUUAGAAGACUGAAGAAGCCAAUAUUGCUCAUGAAGGUGACCCUGAUGCAGUGUUGUUAAUGGCUGCUGCAUGUGAAGAUAGGAUGAAAAGUGAAGAAUGGUAUCUUGAUACUGGGUGUUAUAAUCAUAUGACAGCUCAUAGAGAGUGGUUAACAAAUUUUGAUGCUAGUAAGAAAACAAGUAUCAAGUUGGCUGACAAUAGGAAACUUGCAUCAGAAGGCAGUGAUAAUAUAGUGAUGAGGAGCAAUUUUGGUGGUAAAGUGACAAUUGAAGAUGUGUUCUAUGUUCUAAAUAUGAAUGUAAUCUGAUGAGCAUAGGUCAAUUAGUGGAGAAAGGAUUCUCAGUUUCAAUGGAAGGUGAUUCAUUGAAACUAUUUGAUCAAAAGAAGAAUCUGGUGUUGAAAUCUACUUUGUCAAAAAAUAGAACCUAUAGAUGCAACAUAUCAAGUGAUAAAAUGUUGUGUAUGUCUGCAACUAUCAGUGAAGAUGUUAAAGCAUUGUGGCAUUCAUAUAUUUGUGGGUCUUUUGAAGUACCUUCUCUUGGUGGCAGUAAGUAUUUCAUUAGCUUUAUUGAUGAAUUCACAAGAAUGAUUUGACUGUAUACUAUUAAGCUUAAAAGUGAAGCUUUAGAAAUAUUCAAAAGAUUCAAAAUCUCAGUAGAAAAGGAAAGUGAUAAAUCUAUUAAGAUUUUGAGGACAGACGGUGGAGGUGAGUAUACAUCAAAGGAAUUUGAAGCUUUCUGCACAAGUCAAGGAGUUGUUCAUGAAGUAAUUGCUCCAUAUACACCUCAACAUAAUGGACUUGCAGAAAGAAGAAACAGGACCCUGCUAAACAUGACAAGGAGCAUGCUUAACCANAACACAACCCCACAAAACCAACUUGUGAGGUGAGGAUUGCCCCCACUUAUAAACACGUUGUCAUGUCAUCUUUCAUUCCGAUGUGAGACUCUUAACAAGAAUAAUCUCUCAAAUCGUUGAUAUCACACUAGAUGAUAAAGUUAAUUUAACAAUGCAUCUAAGAACUGGAUUCAAACUCAAAAUCACAAGAGAUGUAAAUUUACCUCUUUUCUAUAUUUGAUUAUAGAAUAUAUAAUAGUUGAACAUAAAUAAUUAGGUGCAUCUAUUAUACAUAAGCAAAACCCUUUCUUUAGGCACGGUAGGUGAGGGCGUGAAAAGGACCACCACCACCACUCUACCAUGUGGAAUGAAUAUAAAUAAAUCCUUCAAUCAUUGACCUUAAUUUCUAAGUGCGUAUGUUAAUUAGUUUCCUUUAGGGAAAUCAUCUUUUAACAACAAAAAGAAAAUAUUUACAAAUUUAGAUACUAACCCUUCUGCGGAAGAACCAAUUCAGUCCAUUUCAAUGACACACUAAAAUGUAUAAUUGGUAUAGUUUCAUUUUUAAAAAUGAGAAAGAAGUGGUCAAACAAUAUAGACAUUCAACUUUCUAUUAAAAAAGAAAGACCUUCAAUUUGAAAAUUAAUUAUAUACUACACUCUUCAUUAUUGAUCCAAUAAUAUACUACAGGUGGCCAAGAAUAUAGACAAGGAUAUACACAUGCAUAAGUAAGCAUAACCAAUAAAAAGUAACCAAAAGUAAAUAAUAAACGAAUCAUCCAUUAUAUUCAUGAAUAUUCUUAAGUAAAGAAUAAAGCAAAACAACACAUCUUCUAUCCAAAUUGACACAAAAAAUUAUUUUAUUAAUGUAUUGAUUCACCUCAAAUGACAGUGUUACAAACUUACAGUACAUAUUACAAUUUUUUUCUACACAUCUCUAUCUCCUCCAUCAAUUUUUCACAUAUAGCUCCAAGUGAAUUUUUAUUCUAUAACAAUAAAUUAUAUGUAAUAAUAACAACAACAAAAUGUACAAUUCAAAUACCGUGGUAGAAAAUAAGAAUACGUGUAAAAUGAAACAUUAUUACUAAACAGAGUAAUAUACCAGAAGCAGAGAAGAAUAGAGGAAGGAGUGAAACACAAUAUACUCAACAUCGUUGACUAUCAAACACUGACAGUGCACCGUUGAACAAUCUGAUACUUAACAGCGCCGCUAUCACCGACGCUAAUACCGUUACUUCUUGGACCAAACGUGAUAAAAGCAGGACAACGAACAAAAAUAUGGUAAUGACCAGAAAUAAAAGCACCAACCUUCCACCUAACCCUACCAUCAAAUUUAACGACAACAAGAACGUUACCGUUAUCCUGGUCUUGGCUAAGAGCAACAGAGUUAUAUGGAGCUACCGGAACGUUUGUUCCGUAAACAAACGGAGACCAAACAUCAACCUCUUUGUGUCCCUGAUACGACGGAGGUAUGGCGGUUCUGUAAGUAAUUUGUUGGCUCCGGUAUGUGACGUAAGAAUCAAGACGAUCGUAGUAGAUACCGAUUUUAUUGUUGGGAUUAUUAGUGUAUUAAUAAUAACUGCUUGUAACUAAUUUGGUUAAGUUUGUUUUAAUUUUUCCUAUUAGUUAGAGAGUUAACUUGCAUAGCAAGCAAGUAACCAUUUUGCCUAUAAAAGGCUUUGUAAUUGUGAACUUCAUAACUAAUGAGCAUUAUUCACAUUACACAAUAAUUCUUUCCAUUAUUCUCUCUUCUCAUAACAACUUUCUGUUAUAAUCAUCUUGCUUAGAAACAGCUUAUCAUAAUAAGCACUUUUGCUGCGCAUGAACAAAGUGACUGUUCUAACAGGGAUUACGUGAAGAAACUGUGACUUGGAAAUUUGAGGUUAAGAAAUUUUGAACUGUGGCGUUGAAAGCGUAAACAGUGACAUCUUGGAGAAUGAAAGACGGUUUAGAAGGUUUUAAGACAUCCCAAAUGAUUAGGAUUGUUACUAGGACGAUGAAGAGGAAGAUUAUGAUUCCUAGAAGAUUUUUCUGAAGCGUUUGUGUUUGUUUCCUUUGUGGUGAUUGCACUCUUUUACCGACAUGGUUUUGAGGUUAAGGUUGUUGUUAAGGUUUUGUUUAGUGGAAUUUGGAGAGAGUGAGGUUUGAAGUAUUUGAGAGAGGAGUGAAAAAUGGUUGCUAGAGAGUGGUUUUUGUUAGGAAAAUUAAGAAGGUGGGAAAUGGGUUGGAAGUUUAUCGCUUUCAAGGUGUUAUAGUUUAUUUAGAAAUAAUAGUGAUGAUGAUGAUGUGUUUGAAAAGAUGUGAUAAGAUUAUGUUACUACAUGGGAGAAGAAUAAAUAUUAUAUAUAUUAUUAGCAUGAAUAUGUUAGUUGGUUGAGGCUAAUUUGUAUGACAUGUAAAAAAAUUUGGAUAUUCAAAUAUAUGUAUUUUUUAUUUCAUAUCCUAUCUUCUUUCUUUUUAGACUUAAUAGCAAUUUUGGCCCCUCUAUGUUUUAAGAAGUUGCGAUUUUAGUCACCUAAUUAAUUAAACUACAAAAUCGUCCUUUAAGUAUUGAUUUUUUUGCAGUUUUGGUCCCCAAGUCAAUUUUGACCAAGUCAAAGCUGACAUGGACGCCACAUAUGUAUUUUUUAUUUUUAUUUAUUUUUUAAUUAUUAAAAAAUUAAAAAAAUAAAUAAAAAGUAUUUUUUAAUUAAAAAAAUAUAUUAAAAAAUUAAAAAAAUAAAUAAAUACACACGUGACGUUCAUGUGUGCAUUGACUUGGUCAAAAUUGGUCUGGGUGACCAAAACUGCAAAAAAGUUAAUACUUAAGGGGCGGUUUUGUAGUUUAUUUAGUUAGGGGGCCAAAAUUGUAACUUCUUGAAACAUAGGGGGCCAAAUCUGCUAUUAAGCCUUCUUUUUAUUACUAGGACGAUGAAGAGGAAGAUUAUGAUUCGCCAGAAGAGUUUUAUGAAGCGUUUGUGUUUCUUUCCUUUGUGGUGGUUGCACUCUUUUACCGACAUGGUUUUGAGGUUGAAGUUGAGGUUGUUGUUAAAGUUUUGUUUAGUGGAAUUUGGAAAAAGUAAGGUUUGAAGUAUUUGAGAGAGGAGUGAAAAAUGGUAGCUAGAGAGUGAUUUUUGUUAGGAAAAUUAAGAAG